UUCUUUAAGGGAAUCAACUCAAGGCUGAAGGAUGGACUUUGACUUUAGUUCUGAUAAAAAAAAAAGAAAAAUCACAAGUUGCCACGCUAUUCACUCCAGAACACGUUUGGCGGUUGCCUUUGGUGGUUAAAAGAUCUCACGAAGUGGUUCUCUUCAUCUCUAGGCGCUAUUUGUAACAGGUGUCCACCGCCCCUACACCCACCCAUGUGUCCCUGAAGAGUGAUACGUCCAUGGACUGACCAAUCACCUACACAGAACACAACAUCUACUGGACAGAUGGGGGGCACCAGCUCUAACAGCAGGCCUCCCUCCCCUACACCCACCCAUGUGUCCAUGAAGAGUGAUGAGUCCAUGGAUCCACCAAUCACCUUUACAAGACAGUGAGAUCAUGACACACACACUCUCUCUCUCUCUCUCUCU